GAUGAACGCUGGCGGCGUGCCUAAUACAUGCCAGUCGAGCGAACAGACGAGAGUGCUUGCACUCUCUGACGUUAGCGGCGGACGUGUGAGAAACACGUGGGUAACCUACCUAUAAGUCUGGGAUAACUUCGGGAAACCGGAGCUAAUACCGGAUAAUAUUUAGCUUCGCAUGAAGCAAUAGUGAAAGACGGUUCUGCUGUCACAUAUAGAUGGACCCGCGGUGUAUUAGCUAGUUGGUGAGGUAACGGCUCACCAAGGCAACGAUACAUAGCCGACCUGAGAGGGUGAUCGGCCACACUGGGACUGAGACACGGCCCAGACUCCUACGGGAGGCAGCAGUAGGGAAUCUUCCGCAAUGGACGAAAGUCUGACGGAGCAAUGCCGCGUGAGUGAAGAAGGUUUUCGGAUCGUAAAACUCUGUUAUAAGGGAAGAACAAGUACGUAAGUAACUAUGCGUACCUUGACGGUACCUUACCAGAAAGCCACGGCUAACUACGUG
rnacentral:rRNA from 1 species